rnacentral:rRNA from 1 species
GGCUUAACACAUGCAAGUCGAGCGGGGGAAAAGUAGCUUGCUACUUAACUUAGCGGCGGACGGGUGAGUAAUACUUAGGAAUCUGCCUAUUAGUGGGGGACAACAUUUCGAAAGGAAUGCUAAUACCGCAUACGUCCUACGGGAGAAAGCAGGGGAUCACUUGUGACCUUGCGCUAAUAGAUGAGCCUAAGUCGGAUUAGCUAGUUGGUGGGGUAAAGGCCUACCAAGGCGACGAUCUGUAGCGGGUCUGAGAGGGUGAUCCGCCACACUGGGACUGAGACACGGCCCAGACUCCUACGGGAGGCAGCAGUGGGGAAUAUUGGACAAUGGGGGGAACCCUGAUCCAGCCAUGCCGCGUGUGUGAAGAAGGCCUUUUGGUUGUAAAGCACUUUAAGCGAGGAGGAGGCUACUCUAGUUAAUACCUAGGGAUAGUGGACGUUACUCGCAGAAUAAGCACCGGCUAACUCUGUGCCAGCAGCCGCGGUAAUACAGAGGGUGCGAGCGUUAAUCGGAUUUACUGGGCGUAAAGCGUGCGUAGGUGGCCAAUUAAGUCAAAUGUGAAAUCCCCGAGCUUAACUUGGGAAUUGCAUUCGAUACUGGUUGGCUAGAGUAUGGGAGAGGAUGGUAGAAUUCCAGGUGUAGCGGUGAAAUGCGUAGAGAUCUGGAGGAAUACCGAUGGCGAAGGCAGCCAUCUGGCCUAAUACUGACACUGAGGUACGAAAGCAUGGGGAGCAAACAGGAUUAGAUACCCUGGUAGUCCAUGCCGUAAACGAUGUCUACUAGCCGUUGGGGUCUUUGAGACUUUAGUGGCGCAGCUAACGCGAUAAGUAGACCGCCUGGGGAGUACGGUCGCAAGACUAAAACUCAAAUGAAUUGACGG